UUUUUUGUCUUAUGCUUGAGAUUUGUUGACAUUCUGACACUACAAUUGUUACAAUAUUUGAACAAACAUAUUAAUUGCUGGGACUUUCUUUUAAUUGUGUAAUCAUUAUCAUGAUUAUCUUUAACAUCAAUCUCAACUUUAACAAUCAACUAAACAAAUCAAGUUCAAGGUUUAAAGCUGUUUGACUAAUGAUUGUCUUUGGAUCCUUAAACCGUUGCCUGGUCGCUUCAAUCACGCCAAGAUGACAACAAACUGUUAAACUUGACUUAUAUUGGUAAAUUGCUGGUUAUUUCAUUAAAUGUCCAUUUUUAAAGAUUAUCAUGAUGAUCAAUCAUCUAAUCUUCAUUGAUCCAGAUCGUGUUUAUUUUUAUAUUAACAAUAUUUUA